rfam:Ailuropoda melanoleuca scaffold461_34, whole genome shotgun sequence.
GCCCAGCUGGCUCAGUCAGUAGAGUGUGCAACUCUUGAUCUCAGGGUUGUGAGUUCGAGCCGCAUGUUGGGUG